AAAUAAAUGGUAGGAAUCCAUUAUGGGAAUCCAGCUGAAAGAGCAGUUAAUUCUGCGUUGUUGCGGCCGCAGUAGAAUUUGGGGAUGAUUUUAUAGCAGAAGCGUUGUUUAAGUCAGACAGUAAAGAUGGAGUAGGAUUUUUCCAAAGGGAAAAGAUGAUGAAGGUGAUUACCAGUGCAGAGAACAGUGGGCCAAGCUUGAGGCAUGGACAUGUGAUGAAUACUCACAUGCUGGUAGCUUACUGCUGGUGCUUAAGGUGGAUUAUGCCAGAUUCUGUCCCAGGUGCUAAUGGGGAGUUAAAGGUAAAAUGGUAAUACUGGUAGGGGCCAGAUUAUUGCUUUCUAAAAUUAUGCUUAGGAUUUUAGUAUAUUGUUUAUUUUUGAUUGAUUCUAACAAUCAUAAAUUGUUUAGAUUUUUGAGCAGGUAAGUGAUGUGGUGAGAUUUGGGGCUUAGAAAACAGGCAGCUUUCUUAAGGAUUUGUAAAGGUAGCAGCUUUGUUAAGGAUUGAUAAUGGAGGCCAGACUGGAGCCAGGGAAAUGUAGUAAUUGCAGCAGCCAUGGUGUCAGAUUAGGUUGCGGUAAGA
rnacentral:lncRNA from 1 species